rnacentral:rRNA from 1 species
UAAUACGAAGGGGGCAAGCGUUGUUCGGAAUUACUGGGCGUAAAGGGCGCGCAGGCGGCCAAUCAAGUCAGGCGUGAAAGCCCCGGGCUCAACCUGGGAAUAGCGCUUGAGACUGGUAGGCUUGAGUUCGGGAGAGGUGAGUGGAAUUCCCAGUGUAGAGGUGAAAUUCGUAGAUAUUGGGAAGAACACCGGUGGCGAAGGCGGCUCACUGGACCGAUACUGACGCUGAGGCGCGAAAGCGUGGGGAGCAAACAGGAUUAGAUACCCUGGUAGUCCACGCCGUAAACUAUGUGUGCUAGACGUUGGGAGACCUAGUCUCUCGGUGUCGCCGCUAACGCAUUAAGCACACCGCCUGGGGAGUACGGCCGCAAGGUUA